rnacentral:rRNA from 1 species
CCUACGGGUGGCAGCAGUGGGGAAUAUUGCACAAUGGGCGCAAGCCUGACGCAGCAACGCCGCGUGAGUGAAGAAGUAUUUCGGUAUGUAAAGCUCUAUCAGCAGGGAAGAAGAUGACGGUACCUGUCCACGAAGCCCCGGCUAACUACGUGCCAGCGGCCGCGGUAAUAUGCAGGGGGCCAGCGUUAUCCGGAUUUAUGGGGGGUAAAGGGGGCGUAGGCGGGUUUGCAAGUCAGAUGUGAAAAACCGGGGCUCAACCCCGGGACUGCAUUUGAAACUGUGUAUCUUGAGUACUGGAGAGGCAGGCGGAAUUCCUGGUGUAGCGGUGAAAUGCGUAGAUAUAAGGAGGAACACCGGUGGCGAAGGCGGUUUGCUGGACAGAAACUGACGGUGAGGCGCGAAAGCGUGGGGAGCAAACAGGAUUAGAUACCCGUGUAGUC